GACACUAUGGUGAAAUGGUAUCAUACGGGGUUGUCUCCCUCGAGUCGCGAGUCCGAUUCUUGCUAGUGUCG
rnacentral:tRNA from 1 species